CCCCGGGCAGGGCGCCAGCCCACCGCAGUACUGCACAUCUGGGUUCUGACUGGCAUAAGGGAUCUAAGCAGCCCCUACAGAGCCAUGUAGCAACUCUGCACCACCGCUCAAGUAGAGAAGAUGAUUUUUCAACACUUCCACCCUAGAAAUGUUCAUGCAGUGUCGCUGUUGAUCAGAAGACGGUAGGAUGAGAACAACUGAGGACAGUAUGUUUGA